rnacentral:rRNA from 1 species
AGUGAACGCUGGCGGCGUGCCUAAUACAUGCAAGUCGAACGGAGUGGCGCACGGGUGAGUAAUAUCUAGCUAAUCUUCCCCUUGCUGGAGGCCAACAGUUCGCAAUGACUGCUACUACUCCAUAGCAAGGGAUGAUACUAUAUCGUAUCAGCUAGUCGGUGGGGUAACGGCCGACCGAGGCUAUGACGCGUAACUGGUCUGAGAGGAUGAUCAGUCAAAGGGGAACUGAGACACGGGCCAAACGCCGACGGGAGGCAGCAGUAGGGAAUAGUGCGCAAUGGGGGAAACACGGACGAAGCAACGACGCGUGGAGGAUGACACUGUUCGGAGCGUAAACGCCUUUUGUUAGGGAAGCGGUACCUAACGAAUAAGCACCGGCUAACUCCGUGCCAGCCGCCGCGGUAAUAC